rnacentral:rRNA from 1 species
ACAGGUUAAUAUUCCUGUACUUGGUGUUACUGCGAAGGGGGGACGGAGAAGGCUAUGUUGGCCGGGCGACGGUUGUCCCGGUUUAAGCGUGUAGGCUGGUUUUCCAGGCAAAUCCGGAAAAUCAAGGCUGAGGCGUGAUGACGAGGCACUACGGUGCUGAAGCAACAAAUGCCCUGCUUCCAGGAAAAGCCUCUAAGCAUCAGGUAACAUCAAAUCGUACCCCAAACCGACACAGGUGGUCAGGUAGAGAAUACCAAGGCGCUUGAGAGAACUCGGGUGAAGGAACUAGGCAAAAUGGUGCCGUAACUUCGGGAGAAGGCACGCUGAUAUGUAGGUGAAGUCCCUUGCGGAUGGAGCUGAAAUCAGUCGAAGAUACCAGCUGGCUGCAACUGUUUAUUAAAAACACAGCACUGUGCAAACACGAAAGUGGACGUAUACGGUGUGACGCCUGCCCGGUGCCGGAAGGUUAAUUGAUGGGGUCAGCGCAAGCGAAGCUCUUGAUCGAAGCCCCGGUAAACGGCGGCCGUAACUAUAACGGUCCUAAGGUAGCGAAAUUCCUUGUCGGGUAAGUUCCGACCUGCACGAAUGGCGUAAUGAUGGCCAGGCUGUCUCCACCCGAGACUCAGUGAAAUUGAACUCGCUGUGAAGAUGCAGUGUACCCGCGGCAAGACGGAAAGACCCCGUGAACCUUUACUAUAGCUUGACACUGAACAUUGAGCCUUGAUGUGUAGGAUAGGUGGGAGGCUUAGAAGUGUGGACGCCAGUCUGCAUGGAGCCGACCUUGAAAUACCACCCUUUAAUGUUUGAUGUUCUAACGUUGACCCGUAAUCCGGGUUGCGGACAGUGUCUGGUGGGUAGUUUGACUGGGGCGGUCUCCUCCUAAAGAGUAACGGAGGAGCACGAAGGUUGGCUAAUCCUGGUCGGACAUCAGGAGGUUAGUGCAAUGGCAUAAGCCAGCUUGACUGCGAGCGUGACGGCGCGAGCAGGUGCGAAAGCAGGUCAUAGUGAUCCGGUGGUUCUGAAUGGAAGGGCCAUCGCUCAACGGAUAAAAGGUACUCCGGGGAUAACAGGCUGAUACCGCCCAAGAGUUCAUAUCGACGGCGGUGUUUGGCACCUCGAUGUCGGCUCAUCACAUCCUGGGGCUGAAGUAGGUCCCAAGGGUAUGGCUGUUCGCCAUUUAAAGUGGUACGCGAGCUGGGUUUAGAACGUCGUGAGACAGUUCGGUCCCUAUCUGCCGUGGGCGCUGGAGAACUGAGGGGGGCUGCUCCUAGUACGAGAGGACCGGAGUGGACGCAUCACUGGUGUUCGGGUUGUCAUGCCAAUGGCACUGCCCGGUAGCUAAAUGCGGAAGAGAUAAGUGCUGAAAGCAUCUAAGCACGAAACUUGCCCCGAGAUGAGUUCUCCCUGACCCUUUAAGGGUCCUGAAGGAACGUUGAAGACGACGACGUUGAUAGGCCGGGUGUGUAAGCGCAGCGAUGCGUUGAGCUAACCGGUACUAAUGAACCGUGAGGCUUAACCUU